UCAGAGCCUCACCAGUUGUGCCUUGAAACCCGGAUUCUCUUCGUUAGGAUAUUGGACCUUGCUUUGCUCACUGACUUUGUCUUUUGGAAGAUGACCUGGCUCCUCCCCUCAGCAGUCCUGCCAUAUGGCCUCCUUGAGUGUGUUUGCCUGUCUGUGAACAGUGAUAUCACCUUUUGCUUUUCUCGAUGGAGAGAGGAAUGUGUAGGAGCCUCUGACUUUUACAUGGAAUGUAGCCUGCUGUGCAAAGAUGCUUUUCAACCUCUGAUGGAUCUCACUCAUCUUCUUAUCAGCUUUUAAGUGGGCUACUUCAUUCAUCAGUGAGUAACAUGGAACGUGCCUCAGAAUGAAUAGAAAUCAUUGGGGAGGACCAUCAGGCGAGGACUGUUGCACUCAUGUCCUGCAUGUGAGAUUCCCAGAGCCAUCUGCUUGACUACUGUGGGAAACCUGAUGCAGGAUUUGCUAGGCCUUUGGUCUGAUCCAUCAGGAUUCAUCUGAGGUCCUUAUUCUUGGCAUCCUUAUUUUGAAGGUGAGCUGAAAUGACAUCGUGGAGCUCAGUAGCGGUUGGCAGGGAGGCACUGGAAGGGGGGCGUUGCUCACCUGUCCUUACCAGGGCUGAGCAUCACUUGUCUGUUCCUGAGAAGGGGAGGGGUUAGGCAUAAGGCUCUCAGUGUGGUGCUGUCAAAACAUCAACAGUGCAGCUGAACACCAUGGAUUUUGUUGUUGCUGUUCUGACUUUUUAACUGUUGUAAAAUGUUCUGACAAUCAACGUAAGGAACGAAUGGCAUGGUUUUGAAAUGACAGUGGAAAAGAAAUCAAAUACAAACUUUUGCCAAAGUCUUCCCGCCCUCCACAAUUACCUCAUCCGAGCCUGCCCUGCAUUUCUUUUCAAAAAAAAAUGUUACACACUGUCAAUGUUUGCUCAUUGUCUUUCACACACUCUGUCUCACCUUAGAACUGAGUGUAUUCAAAGCUACUAUAAAGACCGAUAAAAGUAGCUCAGAAUUUGGCUGGCCGCUUUGUUGAUAACUAGACCUUUUACAAGCAAGGCCUUUAAAGAUGAAAGCUUGAUUGUCCGUUUCCCGGUAGUUAGUGGGGAUCUGUGCCACGCUUGUAGUUCAUUAAGCUGUUAUUGUGUUUUGCUAGGCCUUAAUUUCUUUUAAUGAAAGUUUGUUUUAUCUUUAGUGCAGCUGACUCUUAUUUGUUGAGUGGGCUGGCUUCCCUCCACUUACUACCUUAUGAUAUUUACCUAAGCGAGACACUGGGGAGUAUUUUAAACUUUAAUGCA